rnacentral:rRNA from 1 species
CCACGCGGCGACGCAGAGCGGAACCCGAAAACCUGUCUCAGUUCGGAUUGGAGUCUGCAACCCGACUCCAUGAAGCUGGAUUCGCUAGUAAUCGCGCAUCAGCCACGGCGCGGUGAAUACGUUCCCGGGCCUUGUACACACCGCCCGUCAAGCCAUGGAAGCCGGGAGUGCCUGAAGUGCGUGAGCGCAAGCAGCGCCCUAAGGUAAAACCGGUGACUGGGGCUAAGUCGUAACAAGGUACC